GACGAAGGUGGCAAGCGUUGCUCGGAAUCACUGGGCUUAAAGCGGGCGUAGGCGGCCCGGCAAGUCGGGUGUGAAAUCCCUUGGCUCAACCAAGGAACGGCGCCCGAAACUACCGGGCUUGAGGUGCUCAGGGGCGGCUGGAACUCUCGGUGGAGCGGUGAAAUGCGUAGAUAUCGAGAGGAACGCCAAUGGUGAAGACAGGCCGCUGGGGGCGUCCUGACGCUGAGGCCCGAAAGCCAGGGGAG
rnacentral:rRNA from 1 species